GAGUUUGAUCCUGGCUCAGAUUGAACGCUGGCGGCAGGCCUAACACAUGCAAGUCGAACUGUAGCACAGAGAGCUUGCUCUCGGGUGACGAGUGGCGGACGGGUGAGUAAUGUCUGGGAAACUGCCUGAUGGAGGGGGAUAACUACUGGAAACGGUAGCUAAUACCGCAUAACGUCGCAAGACCAAAGAGGGGGACCUUCGGGCCUCUUGCCAUCAGAUGUGCCCAGAUGGGAUUAGCUAGUAGGUGGGGUAACGGCUCACCUAGGCGACGAUCCCUAGCUGGUCUGAGAGGAUGACCAGCCACACUGGAACUGAGACACGGUCCAGACUCCUACGGGAGGCAGCAGUGGGGAAUAUUGCACAAUGGGCGCAAGCCUGAUGCAGCCAUGCCGCGUGUAUGAAGAAGGCCUUCGGGUUGUAAAGUACUUUCAGCGGGGAGGAAGGCGAUAAGGUUAAUAACCUUGUCGAUUGACGUUACCCGCAGAAGAAGCACCGGCUAACUCCGUGCCAGCAGCCGCGGUAAUACGGAGGGUGCAAGCGUUAAUCGGAAUUACUGGGCGUAAAGCGCACGCAGGCGGUCUGUCAAGUCGGAUGUGAAAUCCCCGGGCUCAACCUGGGAACUGCAUUCGAAACUGGCAGGCUGGAGUCUUGUAGAGGGGGGUAGAAUUCCAGGUGUAGCGGUGAAAUGCGUAGAGAUCUGGAGGAAUACCGGUGGCGAAGGCGGCCCCCUGGACAAAGACUGACGC
rnacentral:rRNA from 1 species